rnacentral:rRNA from 1 species
GACGAACGCUGGCGGCGUGCUUAACACAUGCCAGUCGAACGGAAAGGCCCUGCUUUUGUGGGGUGCUCGAGUGGCGAACGGGUGAGUAACACGUGAGUAACCUGCCCUUGACUUUGGGAUAACUUCAGGAAACUGGGGCUAAUACCGGAUAGGAGCUCCUGCUGCAUGGUGGGGGUUGGAAAGUUUCGGCGGUUGGGGAUGGACUCGCGGCUUAUCAGCUUGUUGGUGGGGUAGUGGCUUACCAAGGCUUUGACGGGUAGCCGGCCUGAGAGGGUGACCGGCCACAUUGGGACUGAGAUACGGCCCAGACUCCUACGGGAGGCAGCAGUGGGGAAUAUUGCACAAUGGGCGGAAGCCUGAUGCAGCAACGCCGCGUGCGGGAUGACGGCCUUCGGGUUGUAAAACGCUUUCGCCUGUGACGAAGCGUGAGUGACGGUAAUGGGUAAAGAAGCACCGGCUAACUACGUG